rnacentral:rRNA from 1 species
UACGUAGGGGGCAAGCGUUGUCCGGAUUUAUUGGGCGUAAAGAGCGUGUAGGCGGCUUGGUAGGUCUCGCGUCAAAACCUGAGGCUCAACCUCAGUUCGCGUGGGAAACCACCUAGCUAGAGUCCGGAAGAGGAGAACGGAAUUCCCAGUGUAGCGGUGAAAUGCGCAGAUAUUGGGAAGAACACCAGUGGCGAAGGCGGUUCUCUGGGACGUACUGACGCUGAGACGCGAAAGCGUGGGGAGCGAACAGG